GUAAAUUACCCAAUCCUAAAACAGGGAGGUAGUGACGAUAAAUAACAAUGAUUCAAUGAUAACAAAGUUGAAUUAAUUGGAAUGAGAACAAUAUAAAUCCCUUAUCGAGUAACAAUUUCAGGGCAAGUUCUGGUGCCAGCAGCCGCGGUAAUUCCAGCUGAAAAAGCGUAUACGAAUAUUGUUGCAGUUAAAACGCUCGUAGUUGGAAUAAAACAUAAAAUAAAGGAAAAAUAACAUUGUUAUUUUGAUUUUAUUUAUUUUUAAUUUAUAUAUCUCCUAAAAAAAGAUAUAUAGUAUUUACUUUGAAUAAAUUAGAGUGCUUUAAGCAGAUUAAAAAAUAUUUUAUAUUUUUUUUGACGUUUGAAUAAUUUAGCAUAGAAUAAAAUAAUAAAGAUUUGAAAGAUAAGAUUGGUAAUUAUGUAGCAAAUAAUGAUAAUAGGAAUAGUUGGGGUAUUUGUAUUGAAUAGUCAGAGGUGAAAUUCAAGGAUUUGUUCAAGACAAACAUCAG
rnacentral:rRNA from 1 species